rnacentral:rRNA from 1 species
UUUUGGACAAUGGGGGAAACCCUGAUCCAGCAAUGCCGCGUGCAGGAUGAAGGCCUUCGGGUCGUAUACUGCUUUUGUACGGAACGAGAAGUCUUGGGUUAAUACCCUGGGAUCAUGACGGUACCGUAUGAAUAAGCACCGGCUAACUACGUGCCAGCAGCCGCGGUAAUACGUAGGGUGCAAGCGUUAAUCGGAAUUACUGGGCGUAAAGGGUGGACAGGCGGUUUUGUAAGACAGUGGUGAAAUCCCCGGGCUCAACCUGGGAACUGCCAUUGUGACUGCAAGGCUGGAGUGCGGCAGAGGGAGAUGGAAUUCCGCGUGUAGCAGUGAAAUGCGGAGAUAUGCGGAGGAAGAACGAUGGCGAAGGCAAUAGCCUGGGGCUGCACUAACGCUCAUGCACGAAGGCGUGGGGGGCAAACAGG